rnacentral:rRNA from 1 species
AGCGGAGCGUGUGGUUUAAUUCGAUGUUACACGAACGAACCUUACCAGGGUUUGACAUGCAAGUGGUAGGAAGCCGAAAGGUGACCGACCCUUCGGGGAGCUUGCACAGGUGCUGCAUGGCUGUCGUCAGCUCGUGUCGUGAGAUGUUCGGUUAAGUCCGCUAACGAGCGCAACCCUCGCUGUGUGUUAUAUGUGUCACACGGGACUGCCGGUCUUAAGCCGGAGGAAGGUGGGGAUGAUGUCAAGUCAGCAUGGCCUUUAUAUCCUGGGCUACACACACGCUACAAUGGCCAACACAAUAGGUUGCUAAGCCGCGAGGUGGCGCCAAUCCAUAAAGUUGGUCUCAGUUCAGAUUGUAGGCUGCAACCCGCCUGCAUGAAGAUGGAGUUGCUAGUAACCGCAGGUCAGCUAUACUGCGGUGAAUACGUUCCCGGGGCUU